rnacentral:rRNA from 1 species
GAUGAACGCUGGCGGCGUGCCUAAUACAUGCAAGUCGAGCGAAUGGAUUAAGAGCUUGCUCUUAUGAAGUUAGCGGCGGACGGGUGAGUAACACGUGGGUAACCUGCCCAUAAGACUGGGAUAACUCCGGGAAACCGGGGCUAAUACCGGAUAACAUUUUGAACCGCAUGGUUCGAAACUGAAAGGCGGCUUCGGCUGUCACUUAGGGAUGGACCCGCGUCGCAUUAGCUAGUUGGUGAGGUAACGGCUCACCAAGGCGACGAGGCGUAGCCGACCUGAGAGGGUGAUCGGCCACACUGGGACUGAGACACGGCCCAGACUCCUACGGGAGGCAGCAGUAGGGAAUCUUCCGCAAUGGACGAAAGUCUGACGGAGCAACGCCGCGUGAGUGAUGAAGGCUUUCGGGUCGUAAAACUCUGUUGUUAGGGAAGAACAAGUGCUAGUUGAAUAAGCUGGCACCUUGACGGUACCUAACCAGAAAGCCACGGCUAACUACGUGCCAGCAGCCGCAGUAA